rnacentral:lncRNA from 1 species
GUAACCACCUAAACUGUACAAGGCCCUCAUUUCAAGUUGUGCUUUUGCUGCUGGUUCCAUCAGUUUUUAGAUAGUGUUACUAUUUUUAAUUUGUUUAAGGUGCAUGGCAGAUGAGCAGGGGGCUGUAAAAGCUAAUUUCUGAGUCAGCAGGGCUAACUUGUCCUAACUCGGUCUUGAUGUUUUUCUUUCUGCCUGACAGUUAAAGGAGCGCUAACUACAAUUAUGGAUUAGCUGGAUGAUCUCACAGUAUCUGUCUUGAAUGCUGCCAACAUAGACGAGGCCUUGCUCCACAUCCUCAGUCGUGACGACUUGGGAGACCUUCUUCCAGGACCAGAAAACAUUAUUAGGAGGAAACAAGUAUGGGCUCUUAUUAGCCUCGAGGUAAUUGGUCAUCUUUUUUGCUCUGAAAACAACUUGCAAAAGACAUGUUGUUUCCAAUCAUGCAUGUUGUUAAACUCUUGUAAAUUAUUUGUUCAUUAAUUUCUUUGUUUAGAAUGAGAAUCCUACCCUACCAGCUAAAAGGUGGCGAAACGGGAACUGUGUAUUCCCCUAGAGGGGCGUCACCAAUUAGUCCCCACACAUCAACUACUUUGGUGAAGAAAAGCCCAAAGAAGACCCUACAACUUCCCAGUCCACCAGAAUAUGUGGUCUACACAGAAAGCUCACUGGUUGUCUACACAUGCCAUGCUCUGCCUGCAUGGUUUCAUUUCUGAAAUUAGUCACCCCCCUGUCCGCAUUGUGUCUGAAUUUGCUGGAGGCAAAUUUGUCUUCAAAGUACCUGCAAAGAAACCAGCAUCUUCAAAUAGUGUGCGAGGUGAGAUAUUUUUUGUGGAUCUCCACUCACUUAUC